UGGGGAAUAUUGCACAAUGGGCANAAGCCUGAUGCAGCCAUGCCGCGUGUGUGAAGAAGGCCUUCGGGUUGUAAAGCACUUUCAGCGAGGAGGAAGGUGGUGAGCUUAAUACGCUCAUCAAUUGACGUUACUCGCAGAAGAAGCACCGGCUAACUCCGUGCCAGCAGCCGCGGUAAUACGGAGGGUGCAAGCGUUAAUCGGAAUUACUGGGCGUAAAGCGCACGCAGGCGGUUUGUUAAGUCAGAUGUGAAAUCCCCGGGCUCAACCUGGGAACUGCAUUUGAAACUGGCAAGCUAGAGUCUCGUAGAGGGGGGCUAGAAUUCCAGGUGUAGCGGUGAAAUGCGUAGAGAUCUGGAGGAAUACCGGUGGCGAAGGCGGCCCCCUGGACGAAGACUGACGCUCAGGUGCGAAAGCGUGGGGCAGCAAACAGGAUUAGAUACCCUGGUAGUCAGCGCUGUAAACGAUGUCGAUUUUGGAGGUUGUGCCCUUGAGGCGUGGCUUCCGGAGCUAACGCGUUAAAGUCGACCGCCUGGGGAG
rnacentral:rRNA from 1 species